rnacentral:rRNA from 1 species
GACGAACGCUGGCGGCGUGCCUAAUACAUGCAAGUAGAACGCUGAAGGAGGAGCUUGCUUCUCUGGAUGAGUUGCGAACGGGUGAGUAACGCGUAGGUAACCUGCCUGGUAGCGGGGGAUAACUAUUGGAAACGAUAGCUAAUACCGCAUAAGAGUGGAUGUUGCAUGACAUUUGCUUAAAAGGUGCACUUGCAUCACUACCAGAUGGACCUGCGUUGUAUUAGCUAGUUGGUGGGGUAACGGCUCACCAAGGCGACGAUACAUAGCCGACCUGAGAGGGUGAUCGGCCACACUGGGACUGAGACACGGCCCAGACUCCUACGGGAGGCAGCAGUAGGGAAUCUUCGGCAAUGGACGGAAGUCUGACCGAGCAACGCCGCGUGAGUGAAGAAGGUUUUCGGAUCGUAAAGCUCUGUUGUAAGAGAAGAACGAGUGUGAGAGUGGAAAGUUCACACUGUGACGGUAUCUUACCAGAAAGGGACGGCUAACUACGUGCCAGCAGCCGCGGUAAUACGUAGGUCCCGAGCGUUGUCCGGAUUUAUUGGGCGUAAAGCGAGCGCAGGCGGUUAGAUAAGUCUGAAGUUAAAGGCUGUGGCUUAACCAUAGUAGGCUUUGGAAACUGUUUAACUCGAGUGCAAGAGGGGAGAGUGGAAUUCCAUGUGUAGCGGUGAAAUGCGUAGAUAUAUGGAGGAACACCGGUGGCGAAAGCGGCUCUCUGGCUUGUAACUGACGCUGAGGCUCGAAAGCGUGGGGAGCAAACAGG